AGAUUGAACGCUGGCGGCAGGCCUAACACAUGCAAGUCGAGCGGUAGAGAGGUGCCUGCACCUCUUGAGAGCGGCGGACGGGUGAGUAAUGCCUAGGAAUCUGCCUAGUGGUGGGGGAUAACGUUCGGAAACGGACGCUAAUACCGCAUACGUCCUACGGGAGAAAGCGGGGGACCUUCGGGCCUCGCGCCAUUAGAUGAGCCUAGGUCGGAUUAGCUAGUUGGUGAGGUAAUGGCUCACCAAGGCGACGAUCCGUAACUGGUCUGAGAGGAUGAUCAGUCACACUGGAACUGAGACACGGUCCAGACUCCUACGGGAGGCAGCAGUGGGAAUAUUGGACAAGUGGGCGAAAGCCUGAUCCAGCCAUGCCGCGUGUGUGAAGAAGGUCUUCGGAUUGUAAAGCAACUUUAAGGUGGAGGUAAGGUUGUAAUUAAUGCGUUGCUAAUUUGACGUUACACAGAAUAAGCACCGGCUAACGUUCGUGCC
rnacentral:rRNA from 1 species